GACGAACGCUGGCGGCGUGCCUAAUACAUGCAAGUUGAGCGAUGAAGCUUGGUGCUUGCACCAAUUUGAAGAGCAGCGAACGGGUGAGUAACGCGUGGGGAAUCUGCCUUUGAGCGGGGGACAACAUUUGGAAACGAAUGCUAAUACCGCAUAAUAACUUUAAACAUAAGUUUUAAGUUUGAAAGAUGCAAUUGCAUCACUCAAAGAUGAUCCCGCGUUGUAUUAGCUAGUUGGUGAGGUAAAGGCUCACCAAGGCGAUGAUACAUAGCCGACCUGGGAGGGUGAUCGGCCAAAUUGGGACUGAGACAAGGCCCAAACUCCUACGGGAGGCAGCAGUAGGGAAUCUUCGGCAAGGGACGAAAGUCUGACCGAGAAACGCCGCGUGAGUGAAGAAGGUUUUCGGAUCGUAAAACUCGGUUGGUAGAGAAGAACGUUGGUGAGAGUGGAAAGCUCAUCAAGUGACGGUAACUACCCAGAAAGGGACGGCUAACUACGUG
rnacentral:rRNA from 1 species